rnacentral:rRNA from 1 species
UACGGAGGGUGCAAGCAUUAAUCGGAUUUAUUGGGCGUAAAGGGCGCGUAGGCGGGAAGAUAAGUCAGAUGUGAAAUCCCGGGGCUCAACCUCGGAACUGCAUUUGAAACUAUCUUUCUAGAGGGUAGGCGGAGAAAACGGAAUUCCACAAGUAGCGGUGAAAUGCGUAGAUAUGUGGAAGAACACCGGUGGCGAAGGCGGUUUUCUAGCUUAAACCUGACGCUGAGGCGCGAAAGCAAGGGGAUCAAACAGG